rnacentral:rRNA from 1 species
UACGGAGGGAGCUAGCGUUAUUCGGAAUUACUGGGCGUAAAGCGCACGUAGGCGGCUUUGUAAGUAAGAGGUGAAAGCCCAGAGCUCAACUCUGGAAUUGCCUUUAAGACUGCAUCGCUAGAAUUGUGGAGAGGUAAGUGGAAUUCCGAGUGGUAGAGGUGAAAUUCGUAGAUAUUCGGAAGAACACCAGUGGCGAAGGCGACUUACUGGACACAUAUUGACGCUGAGGUGCGAAAGCGUGGGGAGCAAACAGGG